rnacentral:rRNA from 1 species
CGGCCGUAUUUGUAGGGUGCCAGCGUUAUCUUGAAUUUUUGGGCGUAAAGAGCUUGUACGCGGUUUGUCGUGUCCGGUGUGAAAAUCCAUCGGUUUACACUGGAUACGCGCCGGGUACGGGCGGGCUUGAGUGUGGUAGGGGAGAGUGGAAUUCCCCGUGUAACGGUGGAAUGUGUAGAUAUCUGGAAGAACACCAAUGGGGAAGGCAGGUCUCCGGGCCGUUAGAGACGCUGAGGAGCGAAAGAGUGGGGAGAGAACACGAUUAGAUAUCCUGGUGUUGCACGCCGUAAAAGGUGGAUGUAGGAUGUGGGGCCCGUUCCACGGGUUCCGUGUUGGAGCUAACGCGUUAAGCAUCCCGCCUGGGGAGUACGGCCGCAAGGUUAAAACUCAAAGGAAUUGACGGGGGCCCGCACAAGCGGCGGAGCAUGCGGAUUAAUUCGAUGCAACGCGAAGAACCUUACCUGGGCUUGACAUGUUCCCGACGGUCGUAGAGAUACGGAUUCCCUUCGGGGAGGGUUCACCGGUGGUGCAUGGUCGUUGUCAGGUUGUGUCGUGAGAUGUUGGGUUAAAUCCCGCAACGAGCGCAACCCUCGCCCCGUGUUGCCAGCGGAUUAUGCCGGGAAAUCACGGGGGGCCGCCGGGGUUAAAUCGGAGGAAGGGGGGGAAGAAGUCAAAUUAUCAUGCCCCUUACGUCCAGGGGUUCACCCCUGGUACAAUGGCCGGUACAACGGGGUGGGAAGGGGGGACGCGGAGCGGAUUCUCGAAAACCUGUUUCAGUUCGGAUCGCAGUUUGCAAAUUGGAUGCCUGAAGGUGGGGUUGGUUGUUAUUCGAAUUAGCAACGUCGCGGGAAUGCGUACCGCCCCU